rfam:Ixodes scapularis strain Wikel colony gcontig_1108379715052, whole genome shotgun sequence.
GCAGUCGUGGUCAAGUGGUUAAGGUGAUAGACUAGAAAUCCAUUGGGGUCUCCCCGCACAGGUUCGAAUCCUGUUGACUGCG